UACGUAGGGGGGCUAGCGUUGUCCGGAAUCAUUGGGCGUAAAGAGCGUGUAGGCGGCCCGGUAAGUCCGCUGUGAAAGUCGGGGGCUCAACCCUCGGAUGCCGGUGGAGUACUGUCGGGCUCGAGUACGGAAGAGGCGAGUGGAAUCCUGGUGUAGCGGUGAAAUGCGCAGAUAUCAGGAGGAACACCUAUUGCGAAGGCAGCUCGCUGGGACGUUACUGACGCUGAGGCGCGAAAGCGUGGGGAGCAAACGGG
rnacentral:rRNA from 1 species